UGAGCUGGGAGAUGGCCUGCUUGGGCUGGCUUCCACGACCCAUUUCUGGAUGAUUUCCUCCCACUUUUCCAGCUGGAGUCCCCUUCCUCAGCAGCAGCCCCGCCCCACUGGAGAACAGGCUGGGUUAUGUGUCUGCCAGUGAGCAGUUGCGCCUCCUGCAGCGGGCCCACUCCCACAGCUCCAGCCCUGAGGUGGGCAGCACAGACUUUCAGAGCUUGAUCGAUGCUAACAGAAAGUGGCUAGAACACUACAGAAAUGAUGCCAAGUUACCUCUCUUGUCGUCAGUGCCCAAGCCGGCAGCGACCUCAGGCCUGCUGCAGCUGGGCAUCGACGAGAACAGACUGAGGGUGUACCGCUACUGAGGCCCCAAGCCUGUCCUGCACCCAGACCAAGUGCCUGAGGACCUGCCUGCGCUCUAGUCCUUCUGAGAAAGCAUUCUCCUGCCCUAUUUGCUGCCUGCCCCUCUCAGAGGAACCCCGGGGGCCGGGGCUGGAAAGGAUGGUACGACUGGAAACCGUAAGCUGCCCCCCUGAGACCACGUAUCUCAGGCUGAAGAGAGUGGACUUCUGUGAGCUCCUGACUGGACAAGGCAACACCGACGUGGGAGCGUCCGAGCCCGGGCCCCUGCAGGACGAGGAGGAGGUAUUAGGAUUUGCCUUCUGAGGCCAAGGGGCCUGCAGGGCACACUGCACUUGGGACUCCUGUGGUUACGUGUGUAUGGUCCUAAUUCUCCAGAACGAAGCUCUGUACCCUGGCACCAGGCUCUAAUACCUCAGCCUCAGAGAGA